GGACACAGCUCUAAGGGACUACUAGUA
rnacentral:piRNA from 1 species